UGGACUUGGGGGGGGUGCCUAAUACAUGCAAGUCGAACGCACAGCGAAAGGUGCUUGCACCUUUCAAGUGAGUGGCGAACGGGUGAGUAACACGUGGACAACCUGCCUCAAGGCUGGGGAUAACAUUUGGAAACAGAUGCUAAUACCGAAUAAAACUUAGUGUCGCAUGACACAAAGUUAAAAGGCGCUUCGGCGUCACCUAGAGAUGGAUCCGCGGUGCAUUAGUUAGUUGGUGGGGUAAAGGCCUACCAAGACAAUGAUGCAUAGCCGAGUUGAGAGACUGAUCGGCCACAUUGGGACUGAGACACGGCCCAAACUCCUACGGGAGGCUGCAGUAGGGAAUCUUCCACAAUGGGCGAAAGCCUGAUGGAGCAACGCCGCGUGUGUGAUGAAGGCUUUCGGGUCGUAAAGCACUGUUGUAUGGGAAGAACAGCUAGAAUAGGAAAUGAUUUUAGUUUGACGGUACCAUACCAGAAAGGGACGGCUAAAUACGUGCCAGCAGCCGCGGUAAUACGUAUGUCCCGAGCGUUAUCCGGAUUUAUUGGGCGUAAAGCGAGCGCAGACGGUUUAUUAAGUCUGAUGUGAAAGCCCGGAGCUCAACUCCGGAAUGGCAUUGGAAACUGGUUAACUUGAGUGCAGUAGAGGUAAGUGGAACUCCAUGUGUAGCGGUGGAAUGCGUAGAUAUAUGGAAGAACACCAGUGGCGAAGGCGGCUUACUGGACUGCAACUGACGUUGAGGCUCGAAAGUGUGGGUAGCAAACAGGAUUAGAUACCCUGGUAGUCCACACCGUAAACGAUGAACACUAGGUGUUAGGAGGUUUCCGCCUCUUAGUGCCGAAGCUAACGCAUUAAGUGUUCCGCCUGGGGAGUACGACCGCAAGGUUGAAACUCAAAGGAAUUGACGGGGACCCGCACAAGCGGUGGAGCAUGUGGUUUAAUUCGAAGCAACGCGAAGAACCUUACCAGGUCUUGACAUCCUUUGAAGCUUUUAGAGAUAGAAGUGUUCUCUUCGGAGACAAAGUGACAGGUGGUGCAUGGUCGUCGUCAGCUCGUGUCGUGAGAUGUUGGGUUAAGUCCCGCAACGAGCGCAACCCUUAUUGUUAGUUGCCAGCAUUCAGAUGGGCACUCUAGCGAGACUGCCGGUGACAAACCGGAGGAAGGCGGGGACGACGUCAGAUCAUCAUGCCCCUAUGACCGGGGCUACCCCGGGCUACAUGGGCGUAACAACGAGUUGCCAACCGCCAAGGGGG
rnacentral:rRNA from 1 species